GGACCUCAUCUCAACGAGGAAGAAAACCUUUGUCAAAAAUCCUCAGUCUCUAAGGGGGAACCCAACACUAGCAGGAAGAAAAUAGACCUCUUCAAAGUAACGAGAAGUUCGGACCCCAAGCUCAAACAUCGGGAGAAAGCGUUAAACUUUAAUGGCCUCAAAAAGACCUUCGAUCAUGAACAAAAAGGGCGAGUCAACACAGCGAUGAUAAAAAAUUUUCAAACAACAUCGACGUCGAAUAAGACAAAAGACA
rnacentral:lncRNA from 1 species